AGUAACGGCGAGUGAAGCGGCAACAGCUCAAAUUUGAAAUCUGGCCUCUCGGGGUCCGAGUUGUAAUUUGUAGAGGAUGUUUUGGGUACCGCCCCGGUCUAAAUUUCUUGGAACAGAACGUCAGAGAGGGUGAGAAUCCCGUCUUGGACCGGCGGUAGGGCCUGUGUAAAACUCCUUCGACGAGUCGAGUUGUUUGGG
rnacentral:rRNA from 1 species